rnacentral:tRNA from 1 species
AACAACACUCCCCCAUAGAC